rnacentral:sRNA from 1 species
AUUUUUAAUAGAGACAGGGUUUCGCUAUGUUGAUCAGGCUGGUCCUGAACUCCUGACCUCAGGUGAUCCGCCUGCCUCAGCCUCCCAAAGUGCUGGGAUUACAGGUGUGAGCCACCGCACCCAGCCAGGUGGGUCUUUAAUUUCAGGAACCCUUUGCUUCCAUGUAAUUUCCAGCCAGAGGUCCCAGUUCCCAAGAGCCAGGCUGUUCCUCUUCCACUUGAGUGACAGCCCUCCUCUUCCUCCAGGCCACCUCCUUUCCACACUGCUCAUCUGCACUUCUCCCUUCUGACUCUCACUUGUGCAGGUAAAGACCUCUGGCCAUCCUAAGACCUUCUCUGGAUGAACCUCGAUGGUUGAUGACCCUGCGUCCUGACACCUGGCAGGAUGCAGAGGGACCAUCAUGUCUUUUGACCCGGUCACUGUGCGUCCCUCAGCACAGCUCAUGGUGGCACUUUUUGCCUGUGACAUGUCACCAAGCUUCCUAUGUGACUUGCAGCCACUCUGGUCUCUGAGCCUCCUGCUACUCAGUGUGUCUUGUGGAGCAGGAGCUCCAGCAUCACCUGGGAGCUUGUGAGAAAUGCAGCCUGGGCCUCUUGCCAGACCCGCUGCAUGGGAAUCUGCAUUGGAACAAGAUCCCCCAGUGAUUCCUAUGCGCUCUUAAGUUGGAGAGGCCCUGAAUUCUUGUUAAUGCCUCAGCUAAAUAAAGGCUUGAGGAGUGAGAACUUGAAGGAGGCAGCAUGAAGCCACAGAAAGAGAUGUUGGCAUCUGAUAGAACUGAAAUCACAUCUUGCCUUUUCCCCUCAUCCCCUGCAAAUACCUGCUGUGUGAUCAUGGGUAAAUUACUCAACCUCUCUGAACUUCAUUUUCUCUCAGUAGAAAUAAUAUGAGCUUUGGUCCACCUCAAAGUUGCCAUAUCUCAGAAGGACCAGCACAGGGCAGGAUUCAGAGCAGCUGCUGUAAGUGCUGGCUGCUUGCCCUCCCUCUACGUACCCGGGGGAGGCUGCAGCAAUGUAUCUGGUGAGUCAGAGAAGGCUGUGGGGAGAUUGAAAGGGUCUCUUCCUAACACAGGAAGCCUCGCACCCAGAGCCUAAGGCCAGCCACCCUCUCUGGAGCAUCACGGAUCAUGUAGUUGAAGCCCCCAGCUGGUACAGAAGAGAACGGCAGGUGCCUGAGAAUGUGCGGCACUCUGCAAGCUGGGGCACUUUGCAAAGCAGCAGGAGAACCUCAGCCAAGGAGGCUUACAAGGAGGGUUUAAAGUAAAGGUGGGUGCUGAUCUCCAGGAUGACGUGCGAAGAUGCCAAAUCAUCCGAGACAUGAUUGGACUGGAGAAGACUUUGAUGAUGGAUGCCAACCAGCGCUGGGAUGUGCCUGAGGCGGUGGAGUGGAUGUCCAAGCUGGCCAAGUUCAAGCCAUUGUGGAUUGAGGAGCCAACCUCCCCUGAUGACAUUCUGGGGCACGCCACCAUUUCCAAGGCACUGGUCCCAUUAGGAAUUGGCAUUGCCACAGGAGAACAGUGCCACAAUAGAGUGAUAUUUAAGCAACUCCUACAGGCGAAGGCCCUGCAGUUCCUCCAGAUUGACAGUUGCAGACUGGGCAGUGUCAAUGAGAACCUCUCAGUAUUGCUGAUGGCCAAAAAGUUUGAAAUUCCUGUUUGCCCCCAUGCUGGUGGAGUUGGCCUCUGUGAACUGGUGCAGCACCUGAUUAUAUUUGACUACAUAUCAGUCUCUGCAAGCCUUGAAAACAGGAUGUGUGAGUAUGUUGACCACCUGCACGAGCAUUUCAAGUAUCCCGUGAUGAUCCAGCGGGCUUCCUACAUGCCUCCCAAGGAUCCCGGCUACUCAACAGAAAUGAAGGAGGAAUCUGUAAAGAAACACCAGUAUCCAGAUGGUGAAGUUUGGAAGAAACUCCUUGCUGCUCAAGAAAAUUAAGUGCUCAGCCCCAACAUCUUUUUUCUUUGUGAAGUGAAAAGGCUUAAAAUUUCUUGGAAAUAGUUUUACAAAAAUGGAUUUAAAAAAAUCCUGUGGAUCAAGAUUAGUUCAGCUAAAAGUCAUACCACCCUCAGGAAUCAGCUAA